rnacentral:tRNA from 1 species
GGUUGUGUGGUGUAAUGGUAGCACGUAUCGUUGUGGAUUGGCAUAAACGGCCCGAUACAAUCGCGGUUCGAUUCCGUGCACAGCCA